UACGUAGGGGGCGAGCGUUGUCCGGAUUUAUUGGGCGUAAAGAGCUCGUAGGCGGUUUGGCAAGUCGGGUGUGAAAACUCCGGGCUCAACUCGGAGACGCCACUCGAUACUGCUAUGACUCGAGUCCGGUAGGGGAGUGCGGAAUUCCUGGUGUAGCGGUGAAAUGCGCAGAUAUCAGGAGGAACACCAAUUGCGAAGGCAGCUCGCUGGGACGUUACUGACGCUGAGACGCGAAAGCGUGGGGAGCAAACAGG
rnacentral:rRNA from 1 species